ACUAUUUUGGCAGAUAAGUGCAUUAGAUUUAGAAUCUAUUAAUGUGAAGUUACAUUUACAAGUAGUA
rnacentral:tRNA from 1 species